AACACUAUCAAAAAAGAACCCAAGGAAGGUUGGACUUGCUCACAUUAGGUCAAUCAGUCACUCACCAACGCAUUUACCCCCUUCUGUUGAAGGGGGCACGCUAUUAGAUGAGUAUAUUUAUGUCUUAUAUCUUUCUUUAUCAUUCCCUUGUUGUUAAUAGGAUGGUGCUCAUGUCUAGGGAAGAGUUUGGCAAGAGUGUUCAGUGCAUAUACAAUAUAAACUUAUGGACCUCUUUAUUCCACUUCCCCAAGCUUUUCUGACCCGACUAGUCUCACUGUUCUCUUCACCUCCUCUCCCCUGAAUCAGUAAAUAGCUAAUGACUAGUGAGCAUAUUCAACUAGUCUCGUACUACUUCGCACCCUUCCCUACGACCUCAAGUCUCAUUCAGGCCC
rnacentral:lncRNA from 1 species